rnacentral:tRNA from 1 species
UCCGGGGUAGCCUAGUGGACAUGGCACCUGCCCGGUAAGCAGAAGGUUGUGGGUUCGAUUCCCGCCCCUGGAC